rnacentral:rRNA from 1 species
CCGGCGACCGGCGCACGGGUGAGUAACACGUAUGCGACCUGCCCCCCGCAGGGGGAUAACCGGGAGAAAUCCCGACUAAUACCGCGUAACGCCGCGGACCUGCAUGGGUCUGCGGCCAAAGGAAGCGAUUCCGGCGGGGGAUGGGCAUGCGGCGCAUUAGCUAGUCGGCGGGGUAACGGCCCACCGAGGCGACGAUACGUAGGGGUUCUGAGAGGAAGGUCCCCCACACUGGUACUGAGACACGGACCAGACUCCUACGGAAGGCAGCAG